GAUGAACGCUGGCGGCGUGCCUAAUACAUGCAAGUCGAGCGAACAGACGAGGAGCUUGCUCCUCUGACGUUAGCGGCGGACGGGUGAGUAACACGUGGAUAACCUACCUAUAAGACUGGGAUAACUUCGGGAAACCGGAGCUAAUACCGGAUAACAUGUUGAACCGCAUGGUUCAACAGUGAAAGACGGUUUUGCUGUCACUUAUAGAUGGAUCCGCGCCGCAUUAGCUAGUUGGUAAGGUAACGGCUUACCAAGGCAACGAUGCGUAGCCGACCUGAGAGGGUGAUCGGCCACACUGGAACUGAGACACGGUCCAGACUCCUACGGGAGGCAGCAGUAGGGAAUCUUCCGCAAUGGGCGAAAGCCUGACGGAGCAACGCCGCGUGAGUGAAGAAGGUCUUCGGAUCGUAAAACUCUGUUAUUAGGGAAGAACAAAUGUGUAAGUAACUAUGCACGUCUUAACGGUACCUAAUCAGAAAGCCACGGCUAACUACGUG
rnacentral:rRNA from 1 species